AUAAAACAUAACGUUUCCUCCGAACCGUUUCUUAUUCCCUCAUUCAUCACGCCUAUUCCAAACGCUCAUCUCUCUUCCAUGAAUAUUUUGCCCUCCUUCCUCCAUGUAUUCCUUUCUUCUGACCACCUUCACUUAUGAGCCGACCCGCUGGAAAUCCAUCAACGCCAAUAUCAAAGACUAGAGAUCCUGUUUCUCUUCUGACAUUUUUUAUUGGAAAAUCUGCCUCAACUAUGAUAUACUUCACUUUUUCCUCACUUGAUUUAUCUUAAUAUGGAAAAUGAUUUUUGGACUGUGUUUCGUUUACAUCCAGUGAUUAAAAUUUCAACCUUUUGGUCAUUUCUUGCAGCUUCAAUCACAAAGUGAAGAGAAGCAUUUUUCCAGUAAUUGGAGCAAAAGAUCAAUCACUAUUUAUCACUACUUGGUAUUGUCGUUCUUCUCUCCCUUUUCUUCCAAGUUAAUUAACUUUUUGUGUCAGCAUCUACGUAUUUCUAUUUGAUUACUGUGCAUUUUUCCAAGUACUAUGUUGUGGCUAUCCUACAAAGAUUGCAUUUGCAUUUUAUUUGCUUCAAUCAGUGAGAUUUGUAGGAUAAAGAAGAAUAUGAAGUAAUUUUUAAAUUAUCAAUAAUUUAUGCAUAUCAUAAGAGAAAUAAAGAAACAAAGAUAGGUUAGAAGAUUUCGGCAGUGAAAUGAAAAGUAAUUAUUAAUUUUAUUUGAAUGGAUUAAAUUGUUUCGUUAAUAAUUGGCAUUCUUAUAUUUUACUAUUUUCUAUUCUUCGUUUUUAGAUCUUUUCUUAACCUGAUAUAUUCCCUCCGGUCCAUUUUAAUUGUAGUGUUUUUCUUUUAUAUGUCCUUUAAGAAAUUAUGAAUAAAAAGGGAUUUUUGACUAUUAUAACCUUAUUUGUUCUUCAAUCAUUCAUCAUAUUAAUCUCUCUUCAAUAAAUGUUUUCUCUAUUUAUGUGCCUUAUCCAUCAAUUAUGUGUUUGCACUCUUCACAUUUAGAUUUUUAUGCUGUGUAAUCAAUGUUUAUUACUUUCAAUUUGAUUACUAUGGGAUUUAUCACUGACACAACUAACAUAAACUAACUAAUUGUAAGGCUUCUAAAGCAAUAGCAGCUAUCUUAAUGAUUAAAUUUGUUGUUAAAAUUCGUUCGUGUUUACACCAACUUAGAAUGGAAUGAUUGAAUAGUUCCAUUAGUCGCAAUAGUAGUUGCUCUUGGAAUGUCUAAAUUUCAUUAGUCUUUAUCUGUGGGUUGUUUACCGCCUUUCUGGGAAAGCUGGUGGCUUUUCUUUUGUUAUAUGACGUAUGUAUAGGUUGGAAGAGGAUCGGAGCUAGAAAAUGCUUUGCCUCUUGAGAUUAUUGAUAAGGCCUUUGUGGCAUUCGGAAAUGAUAUUGUCACUGCUUUCGAGUACUAUUGUUUUUGGAUUAUGAUUUAUAAGGUUUUGCUCUUAGUUAUUUAUUUGGCUUUGCCAAGUUCCCUCCCCUGAAAGGUGUACUGCUCUACAGAUUUAGAUAGACUCAUGCACCCCUUUUCCUGAUACAUGUAAAUAAGCUAAUAGCAAGGGGAAAUAGCUUUUUACCAAUUGUAUCUUACUUAGAAUUUGUUCCUAGGAUUCACAUUCAAAGUGUAGUAAUUGUCUGAUGUAAAAAUAAUGACCAUUAUAGCUUUCUUGGUCUGUUAAUUUAGGUUCACUAAUUUGGUCAUAUUGUUCAGUUGUGCAUAUUGGUUCUUGUUGAAAAGUCUGUUGGUUGAUCUACUGAAGAGAAGUUCAUUUAAAAAAAUGUUUUUCAAAAGUAGAGAAGUAGCAAAACAAAAUGACCUUCAAGAAGUAUAGUUUCUCGAAAUGGAGCCUUUUUCUUUGUUUUGGUAGUUUCUUCUCUGGAGUUAACCACAAUAUCAAGUUAUUCACUAAUAAGAGAGAUUACAUUUGAGUAAUCUCCUUUGUCAAUUUGGCAGAUUUUUAUAUCUUCACUUUAGCUGUCUAUUUUGGAUCAUUCCGAGAUGAAAAGCUAGCUCCUAAGUCAGGAUUUGGACUUAUCUUUUUUAUCUGUUUUUUGCCGUUUCCUAUUAUUUAGCCUCUUUCCUUUAUGUUUUUAUUUAUUUGUUACCUUCGGUUACAAAAUCAAAAGCCGCACCCUUCCUUAACCCUCUUAAUUCAACCUCCUUCUGAUUUUCCCUUUCUUUCUAUUAAUCAUCUUAAUUAGGCUACGAUCCUUCAAGAGAGAAGCAAAUAUGGUUUGUUGGAUGAAAGUAAGGACAACGGCUUUGUUGAGAACACUAUCAUCAUUUUUAGUGUAGAGUCGGAAAUAUAUAUUGAGCUUCCUUCGACUUGCUUUUUGUUGGAGUAAUAGAGCAAACAACUGAUAUUAAGGGAUCUAAUAAGUGUGGGAGGCUUGAGUACUGAAGUUUGAAAAAGCAUUCGAGCAAGACUUCUGCAUUUUCAGAUUACUUAAAAUUUGCUGCUGAAUAGUGAAUAUGAGUGCAAUUUGAACAGGUUAUCAGUGGGUCAAUGCCAACUUAGCAUUCUCACAGGAGCCUCAUGGUACAAAAAGGAAAUAUGUCAACAUCCGAUUAUAUUUUAACACUUCAUGUUGCAGUUAUAUUACCCAAUAUUCAUAUGAUUCACCAUUGAGUCCUUCAACUAUGUUAGCCUAAGACAGGAUAAUUGGAUAGUAACAAGGAUGAUUGCAUUCGAAAGAUGGACUUUAUAUGAUGGGCAACACUAUUAAUUUGAAGAAAAAGAGGAACUGAUUAGUUAGGCAUAUAUUUAGGGACGAGAACUUUACCACUGUAAAUCUACAGAAAAAGUGUGUGAUACUUUUAUUUUGAUGUUUUAUUUCAAUAUGUAUUUUUCCUUAUAUAUUACUUUCAUUUCUUCAUAUCUGUGUUUUAUAAUUUAUUUUAAUAAUAUAAGAUUUUAUUUAUUUUA